CCUACGGGAGGCUGCAGUGAGGAAUAUUGGUCAAUGGGCGCGAGCCUGAACCAGCCAAGUAGCGUGAAGGAUGACUGCCCUACGGGUUGUAAACUUCUUUUAUAAAGGAAUAAAGUGAGGCACGUGUGCCAUUUUGUAUGUACUGUAUGAAUAAGGAUCGGCUAACUCCGUGCCAGCAGCCGCGGUAAUACGGAGGAUCCGAGCGUUAUCCGGAUUUAUUGGGGUUACAGGGAGCGUAGAGGGGUUGUUAAGUCAGUUGUGAAAGUUUGCGGCUCAACCGUAAAAUUGCAAUUGAUACUGGCAGCCUUGAGUACAGUUUAGGUAGGCGUAAUUCGUUGUGUCGCGGU
rnacentral:rRNA from 1 species